rnacentral:rRNA from 1 species
UACGAAGGUGGCAAGCGUUGUUCGGAUUUACUGGGCGUACAGGGAGCGUAGGCGGUUGGAUAAGCCCUCCGUGAAAUCUCCAGGCUUAACCUGGAAAGUGCAGAGGGGACUGUUCAGCUAGAGGAUGGGAGAGGAGCGCGGAAUUCCCGGUGUAGCGGUGAAAUGCGUAGAGAUCGGGAGGAAGGCCGGUGGCGAAGGCGGCGCUCUGGAACAUUUCUGACGCUGAGGCUCGAAAGCGUGGGGAGCAAACAGGAUUAGAUACCCUGGUAGUCCACGCCUUAAACGAUGGAUACUAAGUGUCGGCGGGUUACCGCCGGUGCCGCAGCUAACGCAGUAAGUAUCCCGCCUGGGAAGUACGGCCGCAAGGUUGAA